rnacentral:rRNA from 1 species
AUACGGAGGAUCCAAGCGUUAUCCGGAAUCAUUGGGUUUAAAGGGUCCGUAGGCGGGUUUGUAAGUCAGUGGUGAAAGUUUUCGGCUCAACCGGAAAAUUGCCAUUGAUACUGCAAGUCUAGAAUCAUUAUGAAGUGGUUAGAAUGUGUAGUGUAGCGGUGAAAUGCAUAGAUAUUACACAGAAUACCGAUUGCGAAGGCAGAUCACUAAUAAUGUAUUGACGCUAAGGGACGAAAGCGUGGGUAGCGAACAGGAUUAGAAACCCUAGUAGUCC